rnacentral:rRNA from 1 species
AUAGCGUAUAUUUAAGUUGUUGCAGUUAAAAAGCUCGUAGUUGGAUUUCGGGUGGGUUGUAGCGGUCAGCCUUUGGUUAGUACUGCUACGGCCUACCUUUCUGCCGGGGACGAGCUCCUGGGCUUAACUGUCCGGGACUCGGAAUCGGCGAGGUUACUUUGAGUAAAUUAGAGUGUUCAAAGCAAGCCUACGCUCCUGAAUACAUUAGCAUGGAAUAACACGAUAGGACUCUGGCUUAUCUUGUUGGUCUGUAAGACCGGAGUAAUGAUUAAGAGGGACAGUCGGGGGCAUUCGUAUUUCAUUGUCAGAGGUGAAAUUCUUGGAUUUUUGAAAAGACGAACUUCUGCGAAAGCAUUUGCCAAGGAUGUUUUCAUUAAUCAAGAACGAAAGUUGGGGGCUCGAAGACGAUUAGAUACCGUCGUAGUCUCAACCAUAAACGAUGCCGACUAGGGAUUGGCAGGUGUUUCGUUGAUGACCCUGCCAGCACCUUAUGAGAAAUCAAAGUUUUUGGGUUCCGGGGGGAGUAUGGUCA